rnacentral:rRNA from 1 species
AACGGAUAGGAAUCCUUAGUGGCGGACGGGUGAGUAACGCGUGAGGAACCUGCCUUGGAGAGGGGAAUAACACAGAGAAAUUUGUGCUAAUACCGCAUAACGCAGUCAUAUCGCAUGGUAAGACUGCCAAAGAUUUAUCGCUCUGAGAUGGCCUCGCGUCUGAUUAGCUUGUUGCGGGGUAACGGCCACCAAGGCGACGAUCAGUAGCCGGACUGAGAGGUCGGCCGGCCACAUUGGGACUGAGACACGGCCCAGACUCCUACGGGAGGCAGCAGUGGGGAAUAUUGGGCAAUGGGCGCAAGACCCUGACCCAGCAACGCCGCGUGAAGGAAGAAGGCUUUCGGGUUGUAAACUUCUUUUAUGUAGGACGAAGCAAGUGACGGUACUACAUGAAUAAGCUCCGGCUAACUACGUGCCAGCCGCUGC